AUCUACCUACCGGUCUGUCCGUCCAUCUAUCCAUCUAUCUGUCCAUCUGUCUGUCAUGUUUACACAAAUAUUUCUCCAGCAGGAUGAUGAGAAUCUUUGAGAGUUUCUGGAAGAGACACACAGCAUCUGUUGGGCACAUGUGCUGUACGGAAAGUAACCAGGCAAGUGUGAGGAGACGUGGUGGUGGAGGGAUGCUGUAAAACUGUCGAGGAAUAUGGUCACGUCUCCCCGGGGUCCUUCCACCGCAAGAGAACAGACUAAGAGAUUCCACACCGCUCACUGUGGAAGAACAUGUGUCAUUUCAAACCAGGUCUGGAGAAACCUCUCACGCUCCCUCAUGAAGGCUGAUGAAGCUCUGGAUAUGUGGACUACUUUUUUUUUUCUUUUUUUUUUUUUUUUAGCAUGUAUUACUAGCACAAACAUGUAUUACUAGACUGUCUAUAGCUGGAGUUACUGUCAGGAACUCAAUGUUCUGUUUCAAAAAGAAAAUCUAAUGGAUCCAACGUGUGUUCUGACUGACUAACAAACUCCACUUCUGAAAGACGCUCUCUAUUUUGACUGCAAUUUUCAGGUCAUACUGCAGAUUUUCAGCUGGAUUCAAAUAGUUCCAGAUUCCAGAUUUUCUUGUUUUCAAGCCAUUUCUUUAUGCACUCUUAAAAAUUAAGGUUCCAAAAGCUGACGUGAUGCCAUAGAAGAUCAUCCGUUUUGGGUUCCUCAAAGAACCUUUCAGUGAACAGUGCUUAAAGAACCAUUUUUUCUUUCUUAAAGAACCUUUUUACACUAUAAAGAACCUUUUGUGCAUCAAAAAGGUUAAAUUGAUCUUAAAGGUUCUUCACAGAACCACCAAUGCCAAUGAAGAACCUUUAUUUGACCGGACAGUUAAUAGAUCUAUAGCUAAACUUCAGAUGGAGUUGCUUGGGUGCUAAAACAACACAAACAACGCGUCUUAUAGUCUUAGUUAAUUCCCUCUGUUUUUCCCGUUUGAGUUGUUUAGUUUAAAAAUACCCAGACGUGACUAUUCCUGGGAAUCUCCUAACAUGUUUUUAAUGGUCUCUCAUUAUUCAAGAACAUGAAGUUUGUGUGAAACCGAAUUACUCGACACACAGCCUCAGAUCUGCCCUUCAAAACACACUUACUGUGGCCACACAAAAUUAACAACAACCACAUACAUAGAUUCUGACUCUGGAUCAGUUUUAUGUAGCCAUAUGUAUUAGCACAGACACAUAAACUGUAUUCAGAUCAGCACUGUAGGACACACAGGGUGGAGUGCAGACAGGCAGUCAGUGAGACAUAUUCAGUUAACAUCACAGGCGACAGCUUUCUAUGCUUUCAUGUAAGAUUUUCAGCUCACACUAAAAAAAAAUCAACUGCUCGACUUGAGACGCUGAUGUUGCUUUUGAUUGUGAAUUUCACUAUGAAGAUAUAUGCACAGAACCUCAGGUGAUACACUCUUAUAAGAAAAGAUUCUAUAGAACCUUAAAGGGAUAGUUCACCCAAAAAUGAAAAUUAUCCCAUGAUUUACUCACCCUCAAGCCAUCCUAGAUGUAUAUGACUUCUUUCAGAUGAACACAAUUGAAGUUAUAUUAAAAAAUAUCCUGGCUCUUCCAAGCUUUACAAUGGGAGUGAACGGCACUCCUGAUUUUGUAGUCCAA